UACGAAGGGGCUAGCGUUGCUCGGAAUUACUGGGCGUAAAGCGCACGUAGGCGGCUUGUUAAGUCAGGGUGAAAUCCUGGAGCUCAACUCCAGAACUGCCUUUGAUACUGGCGAGCUUGAGUUCGGGAGAGGUGAGUGGAACUGCGAGUGUAGAGGUGAAAUUCGUAGAUAUUCGCAAGAACACCAGUGGCGAAGGCGGCUCACUGGCCCGAUACUGACGCUGAGGUGCGAAAGCGUGGGAG
rnacentral:rRNA from 1 species